CAAAAUUAAAGAAAAAAAUCAUGACGAGAUUUCCAGUCAUACUAAAAUACUUUUCUUCUGUUUUUCUCACCUUAAUUUUUGUUUCCAUUCAAUCUUUGGCUCAAGGAAACCAAACAAAAAUUUGCACCACAUAUAAAUUGAUAAUUCUUCUUGACAAUUUCAAUAAGAAAAAUGAAACACAGUUGACCUGUGAUGAGAUCUUUUGCAAAGCAAGAAAUAAAAAAAGUUGUGUAACAAACAAAACACAUUGGGACUUGAAGCCUGACGCAAACAACUAUAACUUUUUUGCUGAUAAUUGUUUUCAAGACCAUUGCUAUCAUUGCCUUUUGCCACAAUUAGAUUUUGAAUAUUGCAAUGUGAGUGAUGCACCAACAAACAAAUACACUUGCAAAUGCAAACAAAAUCGUACUUUACAUUUUGAAAGAUGCAAAGAAAAUAAAAAUAACUGGUGCAGGCAUGAACCAGUCAAUGAGGAUUCCUCAAAUUCGGAAGUUGAUGAAUUCCACUUGAACCAUUUUGUCGUCAUUGGAUGCUGCUCAGCAGUAAUUCUUGUUACUAUCAUUACCAUCGCAAUUUACUUGUAUUGUUUUCUGCGGAAGAUCCAAGCGAAUUCAAACGGAGGGCAAGAAUAGGUGGAUCACAAAGAUUUCAAAUUUAAUAUUUCAAUAUUUCGACAAAACAUUGUGCAUAGAAUGAGGAAUAAUCUGAUUUAAAAUAUCCUUAAAAUUAUUAACAAAACCUGGCGAACCUUACAAUCUCUUGCUUGUUUGAAAAUGUGUAUAAAAAUAAUUCAAAUAUCAUUUUUUAUUUUUUUAUUAUAGAUACUAAUUGUUCAAGUGAAGAAGUAAGCAAUCGAGGAA